AUAACCAUAAAGUGCAAGAUAGUGAUAUUGUCAAAGAUGAGACUGAUAAUAUUAAUAUUGGUGAUAUUGUGCCAUACAUGCAGAAGGGAAAACAAUUAGACGGUGAAGUGUUGAUGAUUGCAGAUGAAAGUAAGAUUGAUGAAUAUCUAAAGGAGUUGAAUAUGAAAAUAAGGAAGUAAAAAGGAAACGGGUUAGACCAUUACCCUAUUCUCCGGAGACAUUCCAUCUUAAGCCAAAGAAACCCAAAGCUAAUGUUUUAAACAAAAACAAAGUAUCGAAGAAACCAG